rnacentral:piRNA from 1 species
UCAAAAGUCCAUUCUCUCUGCUCUAGAGU